rnacentral:rRNA from 1 species
UACAGAGGGGGCAAGCGUUGUUCGGAAUUACUGGGCGUAAAGGGCUUGUAGGUGGCCAACUAAGUCAGACGUGAAAUCCCUCGGCUUAACCGGGGAACUGCGUCUGAUACUGGAUGGCUAGAGUGUGGGAGAGGGAUGCGGAAUUCCAGGUGUAGCGGUGAAAUGCGUAGAUAUCUGGAGGAACACCGGUGGCGAAGGCGGCAUCCUGGACCACGACUGACACUGAAAAGCGAAAGCCAGGGGAGCAAACGGG